rnacentral:rRNA from 1 species
AUGGCAUGGACCAGCGUCCGGCAUGUUUUUUGCGACCCGGUUACGACCACUGUCAGCAAGCCGCAGCUCCGGCAUGUUUUCCGCGACCAUGUUUUUCGUGAUCAAAAUCAAACCAAUAAUGACUCGGAGAAGGAUUGGGUCAUGAGCGUACAACGUCACCGAGCCGUUUUUGACCUCAUGCUGUUUGGCCGUUACUGCUUUUUCGCGGCUUUGAUCCGCCUUGUUUCAUUGCUGAGCCGCCGCUGGGUCGAUCUCCUGCCUUGGAACCUCUCCGGAUUAAAUCGCAGAACCGCUGACAAUGGGUUACCGGCUGUGUCUCCCACUGCGCGGUACCUGCUGCUGUUCCGGCGCACCACGGCGGGUCAUCGCGCUGCUGCCAACCAUCUUCAAAACGGCCUCGCCUGA